rnacentral:rRNA from 1 species
GACGAACGCUGGCGGCGUGCUUAACACAUGCAAGUCGAACGAUGAACCCGGAGCUUGCUCCGGUGGAUUAGUGGCGAACGGGUGAGUAACACGUGAGCAACCUGCCCCUGACUCUGGGAUAAGCGCUGGAAACGGCGUCUAAUACUGGAUAUGUCCCGUCACCGCAUGGUGUGUGGGUGGAAAGAUUUUUCGGUUGGGGAGUGGCUCGCGGCCUAUUAGCUUGUUGGUGAGGUAAUGGCUCACCCAGGCGUCGACGGGUAGCCGGCCGGGGAGGGUGACCGGCCACAGUGGGACUGAGACACGGCCCAGACUCCUACGGGAGGCAGCAGUGGAGAAUAUUGCACAAUGGGCGGAAGCCUGAUUCAGCAACGCCGCGUGGGGGAUGACGGACUUCGGGUUGUAAACCUCUUUUAGCAGGGAAGAAGCGAGAGUGACGGUACCUGCAGAAAAAGCACCGGCUAACUACGUGCCAGCCGCCGCGGUAA